GCACUGGUGGCUCAGUGGUAGAAUUCUCGACUUUCAUGUGGGAGACCCUGGUUCGAUUCCUGGCAAGUGUA
rnacentral:tRNA from 1 species